AAAUCUUCUCAGCCUUUUGGCUAAGAUCAAGUAUAGGAUCUGUUAUUACCAGUUUAAUAUCUGAUAUGGUCUCUAUCUGAGCACAAUCUAUUAAAUGGAUUUGGGAGCUAGGAGAUGGAAUGCGAGCUUGCUCUGUUCACUCUGUACAUAGAUCUGGUAUUGCAGUGCUUCUGGGAAUAGUGCGUCCUUC
ensembl:snRNA U2 U2 spliceosomal RNA